rnacentral:rRNA from 1 species
UACGUAGGGGGGCAAGCGUUGUCCCGGAAUCACUGGGCUUAAAGGGCGCGUAGGCGGGUUCUCAAGUCCGGGGUGAAAUCCCACAGCUCAACUGUGGAACUGCCUCGGAUACUGGGGGUCUCGAGGGUGGCAGGGGUAUGCGGAACUAUCGGUGGAGCGUGAAAUGCGUUGAUAUCGAUAGGAACUCCGGUGGCGAAGGCGGCAUACUGGUCCACUUCUGACGCUGAGGCGGCGAAAGCCCAGGGGGAGCAAAGCAGGG